GAUGAACGCUAGCGAUAGGCUUAACACAUGCAAGUCGAGGGGUAACGUGUUGGAAGCUUGCUUCCGAUGACGACGACCGGCGGAUGGGUGCGUAACGCGUAUGCAACUUGCCUCACAGUGGAGAAUAACCCGGAGAAAUCCGGACUAAUACUCCAUACACUCUUAAGUACGCCUGUACAUGAGAGGAAAGAUUUAUCGCUGUGAGAUAGGCAUGCGUCCUAUUAGGUAGUUGGUGAGGUAACGGCUCACCAAGCCGACGAUAGGUAGGGGUGCUGAGAGGCAGAUCCACCACAUUGGGACUGAGACACGGACCAAACUCCUACGGGAGGGAGCAGUGAGGAAUAUUGGUCAAUGGAGGAAACUCUGAACCAGCCAAGUCGCGUGAAGGAAGAAUGUCCUAAGGAUUGUAAACUGCUUUAGCGAGCGAGUAAGGACUUCCACGUGAUGGGAGUUUGAAAGUAGCUCGAGAAUAAGUAUCGGCUAACUCCGUG
rnacentral:rRNA from 1 species